rnacentral:rRNA from 1 species
GAUGAACGCUGGCGGCGUGCCUAAUACAUGCAAGUCGAGCGAACAGAUAAGGAGCUUGCUCCUUUGACGUUAGCGGCGGACGGGUGAGUAACACGUGGAUAACCUACCUAUAAGACUGGAAUAACUCCGGGAAACCGGAGCUAAUGCCGGAUAACAUUUAGAACCGCAUGGUUCUAUAGUGAAAGAUGGUUUUGCUAUCACUUAUAGAUGGACCCGCGCCGCAUUAGCUAGUUGGUAAGGUAACGGCUUACCAAGGCAACGAUACGUAGCCGACCUGAGAGGGUGAUCGGCCACACUGGAACUGAGACACGGUCCAGACUCCUACGGGAGGCAGCAGUAGGGAAUCUUCCGCAAUGGGCGAAAGCCUGACGGAGCAACGCCGCGUGAGUGAUGAAGGUCUUCGGAUCGUAAAACUCUGUUAUUAGGGAAGAACAAAUGUGUAAGUAACUAUGCACGUCUUGACGGUACCUAAUCAGAAAGCCACGGCUAACUACGUG